rnacentral:rRNA from 1 species
UACGAAGGGGGCUAGCGUUGCUCGGAAUCACUGGGCGUAAAGGGCGCGUAGGCGGCGUUUUAAGUCGGGGGUGAAAGCCUGUGGCUCAACCACAGAAUGGCCUUCGAUACUGGGACGCUUGAGUAUGGUAGAGGUUGGUGGAACUGCGAGUGUAGGGGUGAAAUUCGUAGAUAUUCGCAAGAACACCGGUGGCGAAGGCGGCCAACUGGACCAUUACUGACGCUGAGGCGCGAAAGCGUGGGGAGCAAACAGG